GUGGAGAAAGAGCCCUGGUCUUUGCCUCCCAUUAAAGGAGAUAAAUCAUCUUGCUGGCAUGCAAACGGUGCAGCUCGGGACAGGCCAGCUUGGCUACAUUACUGCUUAGCCCUGCCAACAGCUUCUUCCUUCAGAAAAAGCCUUCCCCUCUCUGACACACACAUAGUUCUGAUAGUAGCUGUUGCUUUCUGAGGAUGCUCAGCUGGUGUCGCAGAGCUGGGAAGGGAGCCAGCAGCCUGAUGAGCUCAGCGAGCACGCGGCGUUGGCCCGGCAGCAGUGGGACACGUCCCUGCGCUGCUGCUUGCAGAUGCGCGGGAAAGAAAUGCUGUCCAGCAGGUCCAAAGGUUGUUGUGGCCUGCAGCCUGUCAGCUUCCAGCGUGGGAAACAGGUUGGAGGCCAACUAGGAAAAGCAGCUACAGCAGCUGCUGUUUCCCUAACUCCUUCUUGUCUCUUCCAUUGGGCAGAGAAGUCUGGCUGCAAAGAACAGACAUCACAGAAUCAUAGAAUGGUUUGGGUUGGAACGGACCUUAGAGAUCAUCUCAUUCCAAUCCCCCUGCCAGGGACACCUUCAUCUAGAGCAGGUUGCUCGAAGCCCCAUCCUGCCUUGCCUCAAACACCUACAAGGAUGGGGCAGGUUUCUCCAAGGUAGCCAUCUCCUGGUGUCCCAGCACAGCUGGGAUCCUCUGGGCAUGGCUAGACAGACUGCUGGGAGUAUGAGAAGGUACCCAGCUUUAGCUUAACACCAGGCACGUGCAACAGGCUGGUACCUGUUCUUCCUUCUUUGAAGACAUUCUCCUCCCAGGGUACCACCUGUCCUUAUCUACUCAGUAUUCAGAUGGCAUUGCUCUUCUUUCCUAGGAGCUCAUGCCCUGCCAGAGAGGGGGAAAGUCAAGGUUGCAACAUGCAACAUCAUUGCCAUUGCAAGAUGGCAUCUCUAGAACCACCAUUCACUUCUGCUU